rnacentral:lncRNA from 1 species
UAGAUUUAAAUAUUUGCCGUAGAAUUAAUAAAUAAAAAGUUAGUUGGGGUAAUUAUGUUAACUAUUUAAUUAGGUGCUUUGGUUUCUCAUCGAAGUAAUGGCCACCUGAUCGAGCGAUUUAGAUCAAGGGUUAGAAUUGUCUUAUCUGCCACAGGCAAUAUUAAAGAACAACAAGAAAACCUGC